rnacentral:RNase_P_RNA from 2 species
GCUGUCGGUUAGUUGCUGCUUUAAAGAUAUAUUUAAAGUAGAGGAAAGUCCAUGCUUGCACUUGCUGGAAUGCAAGUAGUGUUUGUGUAAAUCAAAGCGAUAAGAUUUAGGAUGUGAUAGCCAUAACGACAUAACUAGUCUAAGGUUAAUACUAUGAUGAUGUUUUGAAAGUGCCACAGAGACGAGCUUGGUGAAAACCAGGUAUGAAACGCGGUAAACUCCACAAGCAAGAAACCUAAAUUUUGGUAAGGGAAUGUUGCUUUAAGAACAAAUAAUUAAAGUAAUGACAGCAAUUGCUGUAGAUAAAUAACUGACUUUAAAACAGAACAUGGCUUAUUGAC